UACACUUUUGGUUCUGUUGGUGUUUUCCACCAACAGGGCCCAUGAACUUGAUCUCUGCCUUGUCUCUAUGAGCAGGACACAUUUUGAGAAACGUGAAGGCAUUUUACAACUCUCAGAUUCCAUCAAGUGAAGAACCGAGAUCUACGAGCACAAACACAAUGGAGAUCAGACACUUAGUUUCCCAAAGGAAUAUUGAAGAACCUCUGUGUCCGAGUUGGUACCUUGUACACUCCAGCAAACUUCGUGGUGAUAGAGACUGGUAGUGAGGAGAGAGCACCCAUCAUCUUAGGGAGGCCAUUCCUAAACACCAGAGCAGUCAUCUACGCUAAUGCUGCCAAGAUCCGUCUCUACAUCAAGGGGAAGAAGGAGACUUUCCUUCAAGAACAAGACUACACAAGCUUCAGAGCAAUCCCGACAUGAACCAAGGAAGAGGACCAACAGGAGGAACAAGAACAAGCAAAUGUGGACCGAGUCAGCUGAGAUGGUCACUGCAGCUCAAGGAGGUCAAGAUCGUUGACUCAAGUCACCUUUCUUGAUCAAGAAGGACAACCCUGGUGUUCCAAGAAUCGAAUGCACAAUCAAUAGAUACUCUUUUCAGAAGACACUCUACGACACCGGAUCUAACGACAACAUAAUGGCCGCAGUCACUUAUCAGCUCCUGCAUGGAACCAUGCUCCUACAACCAAGAUACAUUCAGCUUCAGACAAUUUUCAGGUCAUUGACAUGGGAGAAGACGAGUAUGAUCCAUCCACCAUCCUUGGAAGACCGUUCCUCAGCACUAUCAAAGCCAUUAUCUAUAUUGGAACCGGAGAAGUCCACAUGCACUUCCCCUCUGAGAAGGUACGCCACUACUUUAAUGAUUCUAACUAUAUAGUUGAAGAUUCUAAGCAGGUCAGGACAAGAAGACAACGCAACCGCAACCAGAGGAGGCAAAUCAUCAAGGACGGAUGGGUAGACUACGAAGGAGAAGUGAUAAGGACUGAAGACAUACAACGAACAGAACUGUCCUGAGGAGACCGUAGCACCGAGUCAGGUAUGGAAAGAGAACAUAGUUAUACACAAAGAGGAGGCGCCACCGGAAUCACCGACUACGCCACCUAGCGAAUCCCAGGACGACUAAAAACACAAGGAGUCCCAUUCGGAGGACUUAAAAACACCGAAGGCCUUGCCAAGAGGUAAACUUGGUAGUUAUCUUUUUCCUUUCAAUUAUUCAAUUAUAGUUUGCUUAGUUAAUCAGGUUCAUGCUAUCUUGAAAAGAAAAUAAAAAUACUAAAAAUGUUAAAAAAUAGUAAGCCCCAUGUGAGUAUGCUCAUGGCAUAAAACCCAUAAGUACAUUCACUGUGGUGGCAUAAAAAUAAAAUAAAUAAGUUUUCAUCUUACAUUAAAAAUAUAUAAAAAUAUAUAUAUAUAUAAUGAUCCUGCUAAAUAAAUAACAUUUAUUAAGGAAGCUCAACAUGAUGAAGGCUAGAUAUUUAUGCUAACACUUAAUUAGUUCCACAAGCUUUGUUGUCUAUUUGAGCUCCACAGAAUUUAAGAAUCAAGAAGACUAGGAGACAGAGGACAUUCUAAUCGCUGUCAAAAUACUGCUGACUUUCAAACACACCUCUGCCACCUGCUAGCUACAUCAAGAGAAAUUACGUCAAAAUUCAGCUUGGAGGAGAGCACCCCCAUUUAUCUCGAUAAGUAUUUCUAUCUAUCUUUAUACUUAUACUAUAUUAGAAUAUAAAUACACAUAACUAUGAAAAACCAAAUAAAGAUUUUAUGCUUAUAUAUAUUUUGCUUAGUAUGUUUAAUAAAUAAAUAAAGUGGCUAUGCUAAUCUGUAUCUAAUAAAACUUAAGCAUGGAUAUGAUGAAUAGUUGCUCUGCCUAAUUUGCAAAUUUGAAGUUCUCUCUCAAGUUUAGAUAUAACUGUUAUAAUUUAAGGCUUGCUCUAGACCUAAACUUGUGGGAUGAAAACUUGAGCUGAAGUCUAAGUUGUUAACGGAUACGAUAUGGGAAGGUUGAGCUGCUGUUUAUCUGUUCCUAGAGAUGCUAGAAUUCUAGAGAAUUUUAUCUUUGAAAAUCUUUAAAAUGUUGCAUGAUGAGUUCCUGUAUGAUGAGAGUUUAAAUUCCUACCACAGCCAUAUAUACAUGCUUGCUAGACCUUGAGCCACACAUUUACUAUUUACUGCUUAUGAGCAUUGAGUGUGGUCAAGCUGUGUAGACCCUUAGGAGCUUGUCAUGUGGUUAAAAUCAAGAUUCACUUGCACGAUUACUCAUACAUGCUACUUCUACUCCGGAAGUACCAUCCACAUAUAUCCACUCAUUUCUAUCUCCAGUUUUACCCAAAAUUAUUCUACUCCUAAUCCUGGAGAGAAUAGCCAAAAACAUUUUCCAUCCCUGUUAUUCCCUGUGAAAUAAAUGCUCCAGUUAUUUUGGUUACUACCACUUGCUACAUUAUUUCAGGAGAUGAGUGCUCUAGAAAAAAAAAGAGAAAAAAAAAGAAGAAGAAAAAAAAUCAAUAAUAUACGAGGAAAUAAAAAGGGGCAAGUGCCCGAAACCUCGAAGAAAAGAAAAAGUGAGACGAGAGGUAAAAAUGGACAAGUGUCCGACAGUAGAAUUAGGGGUACAAGAUACCCACCUGAGAGGUAAGAAAAAGAAAAUAUAGAGCAUCUCAUUCUCCCCAAAAAGCUUCUAAGUGCAAGAAAGGUAUGUAUCCCCUUAAAAGAGCAAAAGUAGAAUUAGACUUUCACCAUUGUUAUCACCAUCAUCACCAUACACCAUACAUUCGCCACACAUGCACAUCUUGAUUUGACUUAUUGACUUGUUUCUCUGGAUCCAUGGUUUGACUAUGCAAUAAAUGUCUUGUAAGUAUGUAUCUCCCACCUGUGAGCUUCAGAUACUAAAGCCUUAUUAGAGUAGGGUGAGAGAGAAGAUAAUGUCACUAUGCUUCAUACCACAAAUACUACAUAUCUUGAGAGAAGGCAUAUACCAUCACUGCCUUGGUAAGGAUCCAAAAAUACCACAAAAGAGAGACCUGAGAGAAUCAUACAAGGAAUUUCUGAGUUUUAUUUGAAAAUCUGCAAAAACCCCAGAGCUAUAGCUGAUCAAGAAUAAGAGACAUGACACUUGGCUAGACUGUUCUAUCUUUUAACCACUCAAGACAGAAGUGACGGUUACAAGUCCGAUGGUGUAGGUAAAGUAAGUAAGUUUUAAGUCUUAACAGUUUAUUCUAACUCAGAGAUGAGAUCUUGCUUAAAUGCGUGUGUACUUCUAAGAAAUGAAACCACUGCAGAAACUCUUGAGUUCAUCCUUGCUCAGGGACGAGCAAGAGGUAAGCUUGGGGGAGUUUGUUGACGGUCCUUAAGUAUCAAAUUUAAUUAUCAAAUAAACAAAGAAAAGGAUCCAAAUGAAAUCAACAUCUAGACUUAGGGUUUUAUCUGACAGAAUUCCACGAGUUUUGGUGUUUGUCUAUUUCUGCAGGGGGUUAUCAGGAAAUAAGGAAGAAAGGCCCACAUGUCAGGAUUACAUAGAGAUAUCAACGUACCGCGCAAUUUUCUACCAUCUUGAAGACUCCAGAAGCCACGAGACCGAAGCGGAGGCAAAACGGGGCCAGCCUGAGGACCUGGGCGCCCGCCCACCUGUCGGGUCCAAACAGGACUCUCUUCGCACACGACGUUCCACCGACCUAUUGGAUCCAGAAUAACAUAGUACCACCUCGCCUAUCGACCCAAAAACGCAUAGAAGGGGAGGACUAUAUAAGGAGACCCCCUCUGGCCCC
rnacentral:lncRNA from 1 species